rnacentral:tRNA from 1 species
GCCGGCGUGGCGAAAUUGGCAGACGCGUCAGACUCAAAAUCUGAUACUGGCAACAGUGUGUGGGUUCGACCCCCUCCGCCGGCA